rnacentral:rRNA from 1 species
UACAGAGGGGGCAAGCGUUGUUCGGAAUUACUGGGCGUAAAGGGCGCGUAGGCGGCCGCCUAAGUCAGACGUGAAAUCCCUCGGCUCAACCGGGGAACUGCGUCUGAUACUGGGUGGCUUGAAUUCGGGAGAGGGAUGCGGAAUUCCAGGUGUAGCGGUGAAAUGCGUUGAUAUCGAUAGGAACUCCGGUGGCGAAGGCGGCAUACUGGACCAAUAUUGACGCUGAGGAGCGAAAGCCAGGGGAGCAAACGGG